GGCAGGCCUAACACAUGCAAGUCGAACGGUAACAGGAAGAAGCUUGCUUCUUUGCUGACGAGUGGCGGACGGGUGAGUAAUGUCUGGGAAACUGCCUGAUGGAGGGGGAUAACUACUGGAAACGGUAGCUAAUACCGCAUAACGUCGCAAGACCAAAGAGGGGGACCUUCGGGCCUCUUGCCAUCGGAUGUGCCCAGAUGGGAUUAGCUUGUUGGUGGGGUAACGGCUCACCAAGGCGACGAUCCCUAGCUGGUCUGAGAGGAUGACCAGCCACACUGGAACUGAGACACGGUCCAGACUCCUACGGGAGGCAGCAGUGGGGAAUAUUGCACAAUGGGCGCAAGCCUGAUGCAGCCAUGCCGCGUGUAUGAAGAAGGCCUUCGGGUUGUAAAGUACUUUCAGCGGGGAGGAAGGGAGUAAAGUUAAUACCUUUGCUCAUUGACGUUACCCGCAGAAGAAGCACCGGCUAACUCCGUGCCAGCAGCCGCGGUAAUACGGAGGGUGCAAGCGUUAAUCGGAAUUACUGGGCGUAAAGCGCACGCAGGCGGUUUGUUAAGUCAGAUGUGAAAUCCCCGGGCUCAACCUGGGAACUGCAUCUGAUACUGGCAAGCUUGAGUCUCGUAGAGGGGGGUAGAAUUCCAGGUGUAGCGGUGAAAUGCGUAGAGAUCUGGAGGAAUACCGGUGGCGAAGGCGGCCCCCUGGACGAAGACUGACGCUCAGGUGCGAAAGCGUGGGGAGCAAACAGGAUUAGAUACCCUGGUAGUCCACGCCGUAAACGAUGUCGACUUGGAGGUUGUGCCCUUGAGGCGUGGCUUCCGGAGCUAACGCGUUAAGUCGACCGCCUGGGGAGUACGGCCGCAAGGUUAAAACUCAAAUGAAUUGACGGGGGCCCGCACAAGCGGUGGAGCAUGUGGUUUAAUUCGAUGCAACGCGAAGAACCUUACCUGGUCUUGACAUCCACAGAACUUUCCAGAGAUGGAUUGGUGCCUUCGGGAACUGUGAGACAGGUGCUGCAUGGCUGUCGUCAGCUCGUGUUGUGAAAUGUUGGGUUAAGUCCCGCAACGAGCGCAACCCUUAUCCUUUGUUGCCAGCGGUCCGGCCGGGAACUCAAAGGAGACUGCCAGUGAUAAACUGGAGGAAGGUGGGGAUGACGUCAAGUCAUCAUGGCCCUUACGACCAGGGCUACACACGUGCUACAAUGGCGCAUACAAAGAGAAGCGACCUCGCGAGAGCAAGCGGACCUCAUAAAGUGCGUCGUAGUCCGGAUUGGAGUCUGCAACUCGACUCCAUGAAGUCGGAAUCGCUAGUAAUCGUGGAUCAGAAUGCCACGGUGAAUACGUUCCCGGGCCUUGUACACACCGCCCGUCACACCAUGGGAGUGGGUUGCAAAAGAAGUAGGUAGCUUAACCUUCGGGAGGGCGCUUACCACUUUGUGAUUCAUGACUGGGGUGAAGUCGUAACAAGGUAACCGUAGGGGAACCUGCGGUUGGAUCACCUCCUUACCUUAAAGAA
rnacentral:rRNA from 1 species